rnacentral:rRNA from 1 species
CAGUCGCCGCGGGAAUACGUAGGGUGCAAGCGUUAAUCGGAAUUACUGGGCGUAAAGAGUGCGUAGGCGGUUUAGUAAGUUGGAAGUGAAAGCCCGGGGCUUAACCUCGGAAUUGCUUUCAAAACUACUAAUCUAGAGUGUAGUAGGGGAUGAUGGAAUUCCUAGUGUAGAGGUGAAAUUCUUAGAUAUUAGGAGGAACACCGGUGGCGAAGGCGGUCAUCUGGGCUACAACUGACGCUGAUGCACGAAAGCGUGGGGAGCAAACAGGAUUAGAGACCCCCGUAGUCCCUGUCUCUUAUAC